AUUGAACGCUGGCGGCAUGCUUUACACAUGCAAGUCGAACGGCAGCGCGGGCUUCGGCCUGGCGGCGAGUGGCGAACGGGUGAGUAAUGCAUCGGAACGUGCCCAGUAGUGGGGGAUAGCCCGGCGAAAGCCGGAUUAAUACCGCAUACGACCUGAGGGUGAAAGCGGGGGACCGAAAGGCCUCGCGCUAUUGGAGCGGCCGAUGUCGGAUUAGCUAGUUGGUGGGGUAAAGGCUUACCAAGGCGACGAUCCGUAGCUGGUCUGAGAGGACGACCAGCCACACUGGGACUGAGACACGGCCCAGACUCCUACGGGAGGCAGCAGUGGGGAAUUUUUGACAAUGGGGGCAACCCUGAUCCAGCCAUGCCGCGUGCGGGAAGAAGGCCUUCGGGUUGUAAACCGCUUUUGUUCGGGAAGAAAUCCUCUGGGCUAAUACCCCGGGGGGAUGACGGUACCGGAAGAAUAAGCACCGGCUAACUACGUG
rnacentral:rRNA from 1 species